UAAUACGUAGGGUGCGAGCGUUGUUCGGAAUUACUGGGCGUAAAGGGCGUGCAGGCGGAUUGGCAAGCCGGAGGUGAAAGCCCGGGGCUCAACCCCGGAGGGUCUUUCGGAACUGCCAGUCUUGAGAGGGUCAGGGGCCAGCGGAAUUCCUGGUGUAGAGGUGAAAUUCGUAGAGAUCAGGAGGAACACCGGCGGCGAAAGCGGCUGGCUGGGGCCACUCUGACGCUGAGGCGCGAAAGCGUGGGGAGCAAACAGGAUUAGAUACCCUGGUAGUCCACGCCGUAAACGAUGGGCACUAAGCGUCCGAUGGGUUCGACCCCGUUGGGUGCUGCAGUUAACGCGUUAAGUGCCCCGCCUGGGGAGUACGGUCGCAAGACUA
rnacentral:rRNA from 1 species